rnacentral:tRNA from 2 species
GCGGGUAUAGCUCAGUGGUAGAGCCCCGGCUUCCCAAGCCGGUCGCGGGAGUUCGAUUCUCCUUACCCGCU